AAAGAACACCAGCUCUUCGCAAAACUGUCUAAAUGUGUGUUUGCAGUUCAGAAAGUGGAGUACCUGGGUCAUAUCAUAACUGGUGAAGGAGUUUCCACUGACCCCUCCAAGGUUGCAGCAGUUGCUGAUUGGCCACUGCUUACUACACCCACACAGCUGAGAGGAUUUCUAGGACUAUGUGGUUAUUAUAGAAGAUUUGUUAAAGAUUUUGGCACAAUUGCAAGACCACUACAUGAUGUGUUGAAAAAGGACAGCUUCCAGUGGACACAAAAACAAACCACAGCUUUUCAGAACUUG
rnacentral:rRNA from 1 species